AUGCUUUGCGCUUCCAGCGCUGAUCGCGAAACGUGCGGCCCUAGGCCUAUGCGGAAGUGGAUUGAUCUCCCUCAGCCCGUGGAGAAAGAGCGGAGGCGGGAUGCGAUUUUUCCGUGGGGGUGUCAGCUCCGGCCGGUGCCGGAAAAAGAAGCCAAGACCAGGAUCGCUGUCUGCUCCUUUCCCACCCACAUCCCGGACAUCCAGCCCAAAAGAGACCUCACCCACUUUGUGAAGUGGCCCUGCUAUAUCAGGUUGCAGUGGCAGAGAACCAUCCUCUAUAAGUGGUGUAAAGUGUCCCCUGCAAUGAACCAGUUCACCCAGACCCAGGACCGCCGAACAGCUACUCAGCUACUUAAGCUAACCCAUAAGUACAGACCAGAGACAAAGCAAGAGAAGAAGCAGAGGCUGUUGGCCCGGGCCGAGAAGAAAGCUGCCGGCAAAGGGCACGUCCCCACUAAGAGACCACCUGUCCUUCGAGCAGGAGUUAACACCGUCACCACCUCGGUGGAGAACAAGAAAGCUCAGCUGGUAGUGAUUGCACACGACAUGGAUCCCAUCGAGCUGGCUGUCUUCUUGCCUGCCUUGUGUCAUAAAACGGGGGUCCCUUACUUCAUUAUCAAGGGGAAGGCAAGACUAGGACGUCUAGUCCGCAGGAAGACCUGCACCCUGUCGUCUUCACACAGGUUAACUCGGAAGACAAAGGCUCUUGGGCUAAGCCGGUGAAAGCUAUCAGGACGAAUUACGACAGGUAUGAUGAGAUCCGCCGUCACUGGGGAGGCAAUGUCCUGGGUCCCAAGUCUGUGGCUCGCAUAGCUGAAAAAGGCAAAAGCUAA